GUGUUGUAUGAAAGGAGAGAAAGUUAGCACUCUCCUUGACAAGGAUGGAAGAGGCCCUUGGGACUAAUAACAUGCAUAUGGUUAAGGUUUAAAAAAAAAAAAAAAAGACAUGUUGGCUUU